GGGCUCAUUUCAGCAGCACAUAUACUAAAACUGGAAUGAGACAGAGAAGAUUAGCAUGGCCCCUGUGAAUGGAUGACAUGCAAAUUCAUAAAGUGUUCCACAUUAUU
rnacentral:snRNA from 1 species